rnacentral:rRNA from 1 species
UACGUAGGGUGCAAGCGUUGUCCGGAAUUAUUGGGCGUAAAGAGCUCGUAGGCGGCUUGUCGCGUCGAAUGUGAAAACUCGGGGCUCAACUCCGAGCUUGCAUUCGAUACGGGCAGGCUAGAGUUCGGUAGGGGAGACUGGAAUUCCUGGUGUAGCGGUGAAAUGCGCAGAUAUCAGGAGGAACACCAGCGGCGAAGGCGGCGCUCUGGGCCGGAACUGACGCUGAGGAGCGAAAGCGUGGGUAGCAAACAGG